rnacentral:rRNA from 1 species
CGUCUUUCAGGCGUCCGAGUUGUAAUCUAUAGAGGCGUUUUCCGCGCCGGACCGCGUCCAAGUCUCUUGGAAUAGAGUAUCAAAGAGGGUGACAAUCCCGUACUUGACGCGACAACCGGUGCUCUGUGAUACGUUCUCAAUGAGUCGAGUUGUUUGGGAAUGCAGCUCUAAAUGGGUGGUAAAUUCCAUCUAAGGCUAAAUAUUGGCGAGAGACCGAUAGCGAACAAGUACCGUGAGGGAAAGAUGAAAAGCACUUUGGAAAGAGAGUUAAACAGCACGUGAAAUUGUUAAAAGGGAAACGAUUGAAGUCAGUCGUGUGAAAGGUAUUCAGCCGUCUCUGGCGGUGUAUUUGCCUUUCACGGGUCAACAUCAGUUUGAUCCGGUAGAAAAAGGCGGGAGGAAGGUGGCACCCUCGGGUGUGUUAUAGCCUCCUGUCAUAUGU